GAUGAACGCUGGCGGCGUGCCUAAUACAUGCAAGUCGAGCGAACAGAUGAGGAGCUUACUCCUCUGACGUUAGCGGCGGACGGGUGAGUAACACGUGGAUAACCUACCUAUAAGACUGGGAUAACUUCGGGAAACCGGAGCUAAUACCGGAUAAUAUAUUGAACCGCAUGGUUCAAUAGUGAAAGACGGUUUUGCUGUCACUUAUAGAUGGAUCCGCGCCGCAUUAGCUAGUUGGUAAGGUAACGGCUUACCAAGGCGACGAUGCGUAGCCGACCUGAGAGGGUGAUCGGCCACACUGGAACUGAGACACGGUCCAGACUCCUACGGGAGGCAGCAGUAGGGAAUCUUCCGCAAUGGGCGAAAGCCUGACGGAGCAACGCCGCGUGAGUGAUGAAGGUCUUCGGAUCGUAAAACUCUGUUAUUAGGGAAGAACAAAUGUGUAAGUAACUAUGCACGUCUUGACGGUACCUAAUCAGAAAGCCACGGCUAACUACGUG
rnacentral:rRNA from 1 species